UACACACCUAUGCCUUAUUCCCUCCCCUGGGAGGUAGGGCGGCUGUGAGGACCAAGGCUGAUGUCACAGGCAGUGUCACAGCACAGCUGGGUCCUGGGAAGUGCCCCCCAAGGUCCCACUCACCCCUCUCCCCAGGAUGCACUUGUGGCCGGCCUGGAACAUUUUCCUCACUAGGACCAGUCUCAAAGUGUCAACAUGCUCCUAGCAGGUGGCCCCAGGAAAGGGCCUCAGCCAAGAAGGGUCCUCACAGGCUGCCCCCACCUGUGGCAUUUGAGACCAGUAACUGAGGGGGAAGGGCAGGCUGUGGCCUGCAGCACACAGCCCCCACCUCUUAGCCAAUCCUGGAAGCUGUUUGUCCUCAACUUGGGAAGAAAUCCCAAGGCCUGGUCAGUGCUGCCUCGGGGCCCUGAGUCUGCUGCCCCCACCCAUCCACAGCCCAGCUCAGGAGCCCUCAGGCCUGUGUGGGCCUGGACUAAGCCCUGGGCCCAGAACAUGCAUAGAAUAAAUGAAACCAGAAGCCAGGACCUGAGCCAAAAAGUGAAAGGUUCAGUCCUGGGGGAUGGAGCAUAUGACCUCCAGAUCACAGUCACUUGGAGGCCAAAGUGGUUGAACUGAGCCUCCUAUGGCAAAAAUGCUGGUCAAGAAAGGCGGAAAAACCACAACUCCAGCAAGCCCCAAGCACCUGCGGGGGUCUCCACGCCCAGCCAGGGUGUUUGGGGUGAAGGGCAGAGGCGAGCAGUGGCCUGGCAGGGCCACAGGGAACCACGUGCACUUCUCCCCCAGCUGCCCCGCAAGCACGGCGCUGGCAGCCUCCAGCCGCGGGCAGAGGCAGGCCACCUGCGGGCCAGCGUCCUGGGCCACCGCGCUCCCGCCCUCUAGGGCGAGUCCCCAGCAGUUCGUCUCAAGCCCAAAGGUCGGCCCAGGCACCUGACUUAGCCGCCCGGAGCCCCUCAGAUCCAGGAGCCGGUCGGCCUUCUCCCGACUCGGGGUCCGCGGGAUCCCAGAGGACUCGGAGGUGUGUCACGCACAUCCGGUCCAGCCCCCUCGGACCCAGCCAGGUGCCAGGUGAGGCGGAGGUGCGGUGCCAGAGCUGCACGCGCGGGCGGGGUCGGCGUGCUCCGCCCCCUCCGCGCCCGCCCGGAGCAUGUGGCCCAGUCUCCGCUAACCUUUCCCCAAGGUCACCCUCAAGGCCCCGCGGCGGCCGGCGGGGGAGGGGAGGGCCGGGCUCCAGCCGCGGCCGCGCGUCUCACCUCGACAGGGGCCAGGGUCCCGGCGGCUGCGCCCGUGGGGGCUGCGGGGUCGGCGGCGCGAGAUGCCGGCAUUUCAGGAGCUCGCCGAGCCUGCUCUCCACCUGCUGCUGCGUGGGACCUGCAGGCACGGGCAGGGCGCGUCAGCCGCCGUCGCGCUGGGGGCGGGCAGCGCGUGCGGAACUCCGGUCGUCACCUCCCUACCUUACCCGCCCCCGCUGCGCACCUGUGCGCCGCUGCGCGACCAGCUUGCUGGGUCCCUUGGUGAUGGUGUACAUGGUGCGGAGGGGCCGCAGCGCGCCCGCGCCCUCCGCGCCUCCCCGCCCGCCGGCCCGCGGCCAGAUCUCGCGCCCUCCGCCCGGCUGACACUCGGCGGGUGCCGAGGGCGCGGCCCCUUUAACGGGCGGCCGGCGCUGCGGGGAGGGGGCGGGCCCGCCACACACCCCCGGCCCUUAAAGGGCCCGCGCCGAGACACGCGGCAGGGGUGGUGCUCGGGCCUUUGGGAAACUGGCUGGACCCGCGGCAGGGCCCGAGGCUGGGGUUGGGCGGCCGCAAGCAGCGCCCGCCCCUCUGGCCCAAGGCCUAGGUCAAGGAAGUUCCCUGAGGCCUGGGCCGCCGUCCGCCACAGGAGGCUACAGGAGCCAUAGGCACACAGACGUGGCGAGGUUCUGGCCCAGGCCCUCGGUGAUGUCCAAGGAGCUGAGGCAUUGACAGACGCUGGGAGUGAGCUGUGUGGACCCUGGAAGCAAGGAUAUUCCCACUCACGUCGGAGACCCUCCUCCAAGGGGAGAAAGAGCACUUACUCCUCCAAACCCCCCAGGCAGUGGGGUCAGCUGCAAGACCUACUUCAGUGACAGUGCCUCAGGAGGAGCCAGACCUGCCUGCCGGAGGAGAGCGGCUGCUGUGCCCUAAUCUGCCAGGCAGCCCCUUCCCAGGGGGCUCUACCCACAGGGUUCCUUCCUGAGGAUUAGAUAGAGAUGCCCCUUCCUCCCAGUUCACAGGCUGCUUAGGGCUGCCUCAGGCUGCUAGUGGGGGCAGGGUCAUCACAGGGUCUCACACACAGCAGCCUGGGUUGGGGGAGGGGGAACCACACAACUCUUGGGUUUGUGAGCCUGAGGGCCUUUUGGAUUCUGCAGGAGGCACCCAUCCUCCCUUUGGUUGAGUUCAAUCCUUAAUGCCCCCCCCCCAAAAAAGAAAACAAACUGCCCAGUGUCAUCCAGAGGGUGUGGCAUCCGCCUCAGAGGCUUGUGCAACCACGUUGGUCCCUCAGGGCUCCUACACUGCUCCCACAAGUAUUUGGGGAGGCUCAGUCGGGCCAGCACCAGAGCCUGGGGUGUGUCUCAGUCUGGGAUCCGCUGCCCCAGGGGGCAAGGGGGCUUCCCCUCAGCACUGUGGCCCAGUGGGUUCCUGGAGGGCACCUAGCGCAACUCCCCCCACACCCCACACCUGAGCGGGCCUGAAGCCUCCCACCCAUAGAGCACGUCUUUCUCCUCGUAUCAUGUCCAGACAACAAGUACUGUGUACAACAUGGCGGGGGGGGGGGGGCAACCAGCGGGAGGAUGCCCCCACCCCCCUACCCCAUGCACCUGUGUAGCUGCUGGUUGAGGUGGGGGCACUGGGCCUGCUGGUGCUCCUUCAGGGAAGUCUGCUCCCUGGGGCAGCUGUGCUGUCCUUCCUCCCAAGUCCCCCAUAGCCCCUUGGCUCUGCGUCUUGUUCUACCCAAGGCCAAAGGAUAAGACCCCUAUCCCCGGCCCCAGCUGCCCGCUCUGUGGGGCUGGGCUGAGCAAAGCCUGUGACCCUGAGAGGGGAGAGCAUGCCCAGGGAGUCUGGGCAUGAGCACAGCCCCUGGCCAAGCUGGCCCCCCUUUCCACCCGAGGUGCCCAUCCCUCGUCCCGCCCCCCAGCUGUGUCAAGGCCACCACGCUCCUGCCCUGGUCUAUGCUGGCUGCCCUGGUCUCCCUGGUGGCCUCGAGCACAAUGCUAACUCACUCAGGCUGGGUGAGGGGCCCCGCAGGGUGAGGGCGGGCCUGUGUCCUGAAGGCACAUGUUCUGGGCAGAAGGAGCCAGGCCCUGGGGUGGGGGAGUACCUCCCCCCAGGUUGACAUGAGUUGAGAGCUCCUCCUCUCCCAGGCACCCCCUCAGGCCAGCGUGAAGAGGGGAAGGACAGGGCCUGUUGAUGAGCAGAUAGGCCUGGCCUUGAUGGUGGCCAAGGCUGCUAGACUCUAAUGUCCCAGCCCUGCCUACGGGCCUUGUCUGAUGUCAAAGGUUGGGUCCAAGACCCCUUGGAAGGGCUCCAGGAAAGAGGAGCAGAACAGAAAUGGUCCCGACAGGCAGGAGAGGAGGGGGUGCAGGACAGGCUGGGCCUAGGGGAGAAGUGAGAGAACCCAGAGGUCCCCAAAAGACACUGAGCUAAGGGAGAGGGGAGCCAGGGAGAGAAAGGCCCGGUUGUAGGGGACAGGCAGCAGAGGAGGGCAGGGAGGAGGGUGGGGCUGAUCUCCCCCUGAGGCACCUUUCCAGCCUCACUGCUCCCAGGACUCAAGUGUGAGACCUGCCCUGGCCCCGGGACAGAGCCAAGGGGCGUGCAGAGGGCCCAGCCAGAGCCUGGGAGAGGUCAGGGUCUGGAUGGGCCUGCAACCAAGAUCUCAGUUUGGUUCUCCUGUUAGGGUAGGAACCCUGGCCAGCCUGGCCUUCCCUGGACUACACUGUCCAUGACGGCGUGCCACCCUGCUAAGCCCCCGUAGAGAUAGCGUCUUGCAGCUGGCAACAUUCCCUAUUGUCAGAGAGGCUGGAAACCCAUCCUGGAGUUGGAGUCAUGGGCAGUUGAAGAGGAGACAGGGGCCUCACCCAGCAGGCUGAAAAAAAUGGGUGUCAUAGUAAGGAAAGGCCUUUACCUCACUGACCCCAGUUAAUUAUAAUAAAAACAAGUAUGAUUUUUCUCUUCUAAAAGCCUUUAAAUAUGAUACAAAAAUGUCAUGUUAGAGGAGAAAGAUGUUUAAGUUUUCAGUCAUCCUCCAUCAUUUUUCAGAUCUGAAAUCCAUGCCCUCACCAACCCAGACUAGAGGAUGGGCUUCUGCCAAUAAAGGAUGAUCGGUGGCCCCCAGGAAAGGCUCCGGCUGGAUGCUGCCACACCUGCCACCGAGUUUCUAGGGAUUGCCCAUUCCUUUUUUUUUUUUUUUGGCUUCGUGGCUUGCAGGAUCUUAGUUUCCUGACCAGGGACUGAACCUGGGCCCUAGCAGUGAAAGUGCCGAGUCCUAAACACUGGACCUCCAGGGAAUUCCCAAGGGGUUGCCCAUUCCCAUACCCAAGUGCAGUGAGUUGAACAGUGGCCCCCCAAAGAUACAUCGCCCAGAACCUCAGUACAUGACCUUAUUUGGAAUAAUGGUCUUUGCAGAUAUAAUUAAAGCAAGGAUUUCGAGAUAAGGUCAUUCUGGAUUAGGAUGGGCCCUAAAUCCAAUGAUGAGUGUCCGUGUAAGAGAAAGGAGAGGUAUAUUUGGACACAGAGACACAGAGAAGACCAGGUGAAGACAGAGGCAGAGACUGCAGUGAGCCUGCACAAACCCAGGAACGCCUGGAGCCACACAGAAGCCGGAAGCUGUGAUCACGAAAGGGCUUCCUGUAGGGCCACUGGAGGGAGCUGACAUCUUUGUUUUGGGCUUCUGGCCUGCAGAACUGUGAGAAAAUAAAUUUUUGUUUUAAGUCACCAA